ensembl:antisense Gm26748 predicted gene, 26748
AAGAAGAGCCCACAAUUGCUUUCCAAAGCCCCACACGUGGCCCGGACCCAAGUUAUUUCACAGGGUUGCAACCAAGGGCAUGGACAUCCUGGGUCAAUUCUACUGCUCGGCUACCCCCUAAACCUCUUUGGAAGGGUUUAAUGGCUUUAAUACUUGAUAGAAGAAAUGAAAACUCUUCAACAGAACUUCUUUGGACCCCACAGAUGCAAGAUCUUUGGAUAUAGAGACUGAUAUGACACACCUCCUCCCCCACAGCUGGCUUUCAGAAUUCAGAAGAGCUGGGGAAAGCAUCCUUGAUUUUGGACUUCUAACAUCCAGAGCUACAAGAAAAUAACCUCUGAUGUGCGAUGCCACCUAGUUCUGCUCACUUCUCCUAGAACCUCUGGGAAACUAAAAGGAAGGGUGGGGCUGGAGGGUUGCAAUUCAGCUUUCUGCUGCCUCUGCCUGGAACUCAAGCCUGACUGUGCCACAGUGACGGAAACGGGUCACGUGACAGUUCACCUUGCUAAAGACAGCAGUGCAAAUGUAGUUGCUGCUAAGACCAGAAAUCUGGUAAGCAGUGCUACAGGAAAGGAGCCACUGUACUUUGGCCAACCUUAGUAAUUCUUACUCCAAAGGAUAAUGUGUGUCUGUAUUUGUUUGUUUAGUCCUUCAAGUGAUACAUGGUGAAAGAGUACAAAUGUGCAAGCUGAGAGUGCUUUGUUUUAACUAAUAGACCAUCAUUCAUUCACUCAUUCAGCAGGUACUUACUAAGCACAAGCUAUGUACCAAGAAUUGAACAAAGCACUCGAUUUUGGCUGACCAAAUCACUAGGAAUGUGGAGAAGAGCAUGAUGGAGGACUGAGAGAAGUCACCAUCCAUCUCCUGAAGGCAGAGCACUGCAGAAUCCUUGUGGGCAGUCAAGAGAAAGAAGGGCAGGAACUAUUGGGAGUGGGGAGGAAGGAGGAACCUCACUGUGGUAACUGGCUCGCAGGAGGGACUCUGGUGCUUACAUGGGAUUGGACAAAGGCAGGCAGGGCGAGGGGGAGCAGCUGAGCUAAAGAAAGAAAUGGCCAACCAGUGGCUUCUUGUUGGACUUUAAAAUUUUUUCAUUUCAUAGAAUGUAGCCACAAUGACUAGGAUUUAGUAGAAACUGGGAAAACGUUGACACAUUGCUUUUUGUUGUCUAUCUAUCUGUCUUAGUCAGGGUUUCUAUUCUUGUACAAACAUGAUGACCAAGAAGCAAGUUGGGGAGGAAAGGGUUUAUUCGGCUUACACUUCCAUACUGCUCUUCAUCACCAAAGGAAGUCAGGACUGGAACUCAAGCAGGUCAGGAAGCAGAAGCUAAUGCAGAGGCGCUCUCUUAUAGAACCCAAGACUACCAGCCCAGAGAUGGUCCCACCCACAAGGGGCCUUUCCCUCUUGAUCACUAAUUGAGAAAAUGCCUUACAGUUGUAUCUCAUGGAGGCAUUUCCCCAACUGAAGCUCCCCUCUCUGUGAUAACUCCAGCUGUGUCAAGUUGACACAAAACUAGCCAGUAUUCUAUCUAUCUAUCUAUCUAUCUAUCUAUCUAUCUAUCUAUCUAUCUAUUAUUUAUUUUUUAUGUUCUAUCUAGCCAUGCCUGUUUCUGUAUUGCCCGUGUCUGCUUUUUACUGAGUACUUGUGAGACCACAUGAUUGGAAAAGCCAAAAAAUAUCUUCUAUCUGCUAGUGUAGAGAAAGCUUGCUGAUUCCUCGUUGUGUGUGUGUGUGUGUGCGCAUUCGUGGGCACACACUGCGUCUUUGCAUGUGGAGGCCAGGGGACAGCCCCAGCUGACAUUCUUCAAGAGCCUUCUACCUUCUUUUCUGAGAUAGGGUCUUUCACUAGGCCUGGGACUCACCGGGUAAGCUAGGUUGGCUGGCCAGCGAGCCCCAGAGAUCUGCCUGUCUCUGCCUGAGAUGAUAUGUGUAUACUAUACCAUCGCUGGUCCAGCUUAUUUUGCACGGGUUCUUGUGAACAAACACAGUGGAUGAUGUGUGUAUACCACCCAUCAGUCUGGCUUGCUUCACAUUGGGUCCUAGUGAGCAAAUUAGUUUGUUGUGCUUAUGACUGGGCUAUUUUCCAGCUCUGUUGUUUCUAGAUUCAUGUGUUUAAAAAAAAAAAAAGAGCCUAGAGUCUCUGUACUGUCUCAUACUGCAGUUUUACAAACUCUUACUGAUCUUGCCUCCACUGUCUUUGCUUGAACUUCCUGUGAGAUGUACUGCGCAGACUCCAACUCACUGAUGUAAUCCACAUUCUUUUGGACUUUCGGAUAUUGCCCAAAGUUCUGGCUUACUGAUUGCUAUUUUGCAUAUUAACCUUACUAUAACUGAUUCCAAUGAUCCAGCACACAGUAGAUGCUUCAUCAAGAGUGAUGAGGUUAUCAAAGAAAGAUCAAGAAACACAGGCCUUGCUCUCCAUCUUGCACGGAAAGUGUCAGGCAUUUUCUCAGCCACAGAAGAGGAAACUGUUCCAGACGCUUCCUCACAUGGCUCUGUUGUUAAGAGUGACUCUGGCUUUGCUGAAACCUUACUUUGCAUGCGUCUUUUUCUUAUGGCUUAUUAUGGUAACACAAUAGGUGGGCCCGGUAAUUUCAUUACUGGGUUUUAUUUGCCUUUGUGUAAAUGACUUUUCAUUUAGAUUUGUUCCAAAAAAAAAGUCAAAUGAAAUAAGAUGGAUAUUCUCCUUUCUACUUUGCCUUCAUCCUUUAUUGAGGCACUGUUCCACGUGGCUCUUCUUGUUAAACCUAUAAUAUCAUCUGUGCUAUCAUUCUAAAAUAAUAACCGUAUUUUAAAUGUGACAUGAAAAAGGAAUGGCUUUUAUAAUUCUAAAUAAGAUGUCUAUUUUAAUCUAGUUCAAUGCUGAUGAUUUUCUCUUUAUUUAAAAAAAAAUAAUAAAUCACCAGGAUUCAAUGUGAACGCC